UGGGGAAUAUUGCACAAUGGGCGCAAGCCUGAUGCAGCAACGCCGCGUGAGGGAUGACGGCCUUCGGGUUGUAAACCUCUUUUAGUAGGGAAGAAGCGAAAGUGACGGUACCUGCAGAAAAAGCACCGGCUAACUACGUGCCAGCAGCCGCGGUAAUACGUAGGGUGCGAGCGUUGUCCGGAAUUAUUGGGCGUAAAGAGCCCGUAGGCGGUCUGUCGCGUCUGCUGUGAAAACCCGAGGCUCAACCUCGGGCCUGCAGUGGGUACGGGCAGACUAGAGUGCGGUAGGGGAGAAUGGAAUUCCUGGUGUAGCGGUGGAAUGCGCAGAUAUCAGGAGGAACACCGAUGGCGAAGGCAGUUCUCUGGGCCGUAACUGACGCUGAGGAGCGAAAGCGUGGGGAGCGAACAGGAUUAGAUACCCUGGUAGUCCACGCCGUAAACGUUGGGCGCUAGAUGUGGGGACCAUUCCACGGUUUCCGUGUCGCAGCUAACGCAUUAAGCGCCCCGCCUGGGGAGUACGGCCGCAAGGCUAAAACUU
rnacentral:rRNA from 1 species